CCCAAGUGCUGGAUUACAGGCGUGAGCCACCGCGCCCAGCUAGGAGCGCCUCUUUUCCUUCCGCACCCCACUGAAGAUCCUGGUGUCGCUAUGGGCCGCCGCCCCGCCCGUUGUUGCCAGUAUUGUCAGAACAAUCCGUCCCCAAAGUCCCGCUUCUGCCAAGGGUCCCUGGUAAGUAGUGGAAGAGCUGCUGCACUAGCUUGGCCCUACUGACCCAGCAUCCGUCUGCGACACCCCCUGCACACGUACCCAAUCCUUUUUUAGAUGCCAAGAUUCGCAUCUUUGACCUGGGGCAGAAGAAAGCAAAAGUGGAUGAGUUUCCCCUCUGUGGCCACAUGGUAUUGAUGAAUAUGAGCAGCUCUCCUCUGAAGGUAAGGCCGGAUUCUCUGAAUCACCCCCCAGUUGUCCUCCUGCUCCCUCAGCCCCAUUUGCAUGCACUGCACUGGUAUUGGGAGUUUGAGCCUUUUCACAAAACUCAACCAACACAUUUCUCCCAAGCUGGAGAUGGUCACGGUGGAUGUUUCUCUACUGUCUUCUCUGGCUUUGCUGCUUUCCUUCACCUCUACCUGGCCCUGGAGGCUGCCCAGAUUUGUGCCAAUAAGUACAUGUUGAAAAGUUGUGGCAAAGAUGGCUUUCAUAUCUGAGUGCGGCUCCAUCCCUUCCACGUCGUCUGCAUUAACAAGGUGUUGUCCUGUGCUGGGGCUGACAGGUGAGCUUGGUUUGGGGCUUUUGAAGGCAGUUAUCCGAUAACUUGGAGUCUCUACAUUAUUAGGCUUGCAUUAAUUUGUCAGAGCAUAAAGGUGGCCCCAGUGACUCAGCCACCAUGGCUGACUACUAGAAAAGCCAGGACACAGCUGGCAAGUGACUUCAGUGGUCACUCAGUAGGACUACUUCCUGUGGACUGUUGCGGAUACAAGCAGGAAAGCAUGAGUAAGUCUUAGCAACCUCUUAGUCACAGGUGAAGGGAAGC